GAGCUGUAGACAGUCUUACCUCUACCAAAGGUGGAGAGACUCCUUCCAUAAGGACCUCCGGCCAGGAAGAUAUAAAAGCCGUAAAAGGGUAAAGUGUUUAUACCUGUUUGUCGAGAACAUGAUAAGACGAUAAUACUUGUUCGCUGGUUCCGCCGGGUAUGCCUCCUUACGAGUCGGGAAGGGUAGCAAACGUACGGUAACAAAACCUUAGCACAUAACAUAAACUCUAGCAACCAUAUUACGCAAAUAACAACAUAAAAAGUAAGAGCAUAAUAGACAAAGCCUACCUAUACAUAAGAAAUGACUAAAAACUAAGGGGAUUAAACUAUUUUCUAAACAACCUACGGAGCAGAGUACCUUAGGCCGCUACGGUAAACUAAAAUAACGGGUGGUGCGCAACCUAUGAAACACACUAAUAACGCCGCCUAACUAGAUUAAACCUAGUCCUCUCCCAAGCUCCCAAAACCCCUAAACUAGUACUAGUCCUCUAAUAAACCCUCAUCGGUCAUGUCCUCCAACGGGCAGAGCAUUUUGGGGCAGCCAAGAGUAACCUCCCCCCUCGAUUUUGGCCUCCCUCUACUCAGGCCAAAACCACUACGGAGGUUACCAAGAACCAAAGUCUACGAAGAAAGUCUACAAAAACCUAUUCCCAUUUGCCUUACCCUCACUGACCACCUUCUCCAUCAGGAAACACCAUCGUAACCUUCGGUAUUCUGUCCUUCCACCUCCGUCGACCUACCUCUCCUCCUGUCAGUACAAAGCCUUCUUUGGCGGCGAGUCACCAAAGUUGGGCCUACUUCACCCGGUCAAACCAACACAAAUCACCUUAGGCAAGGCAAAAUAGGAAAAUGAUGUCGAUCAAAGUCCCGCAAAAGACAAACCCUACCCUAAUCCUCUACUCUAAUCCUAGUUCUCCAGGCCGUCCUAUCCGACGUCAAGUCCUCCGACAAACCAAGUUCUAUUAGGUCCUUCGCUAAUCGGUCCUCCCACCUCAUCUUAGGCCUUCCUCUUCUUCGUGUGCCUUCGACGUGAAUAGACUCCGCUCUUCUUAGUGGUGCUGUUCGAUCCCUUCUCCUAACAUGGCCAAACCAUCUCAAACGCCCUUCUCUUAGCUUUUUAAUGAUGGUCCCUACUUCAAGUUCUGCUCUAAAAACUCCUGUGGGGAUCCUGUCUGAUAGGGUCUUCCCGCAAGACCACCUUAGCAUCCUCAUCUCUCCUACCUCUACUCGAGAUGCUUGGGCUUUCGUCAUCGGCCAACAUUCUGACCCGUAUAACAUAGCCGGUCUAAUAGCGACUCUGUAGAACUUCCGUUUCAGUUUUAGCGGGAUCCGCUUGUCGCACAUGACUCCAGAAGCUGCCCUCCACCGCAUCCAUCCAGCUUGGAUUCGAUUUGUCACGUCUUCGUCUAUCCCCCCCGAUUUGUGUAUCACCGAUCCCAGGUACCUAAAAGACGCCUUCGGACCCAAUAUCCGCUCCCCAAUGCGAAUAACCUCAUCCCCAUUUUGACUUAUCCCCUAUUUAUCGAAGUCACAUCGUAGGUAUUCAGUCUUCUCUCGGCUCACACACAAACCAUUGUCUUCAAGGGCUUCUCUCCAUUUCUCCAACCUACGGUUUAGCUCCUAUGUCGAUCUCGCAAUCAGUGCAAUGUCAUCGGCAAAAAUCAUGCACCACGGUAGUUCCUCCUGAAGGCCACUGGACAACUCGUCUAAGAUCAAUGUAAAAAGGUAUGGGCUAAGCGCCGAACCCUGGUGUAGGCCCAUUUCUACCGAGAAAAGCUCUGUGCUCCCCACCGGUGUUCGAACACCGGUCCUCGCCCUAUCAUACAUGUCCCUGAUAACACUAAUGUAUCUCCCAGUAACUCUUUUUGCUUGGAGCGUCCUCCAGAUCAGCUCUCGUGGUACACUAUCGUAUGCCUUAUCCAAAUCUAGGAAGGCACAGUGCAACGCUUUUUGUCUUUCCCUAUACUUUUCCAUAAGGCUUUUGGUGAUGUGGAUAGCCUCCAUCGUCGACCUCCCUGGCAUAAAACCAAAUUGGUUCUCUGCCACCUUCGUAACUCUUCUAAGCCUCGUCUCAAUCACUUUCUCCCAGAGCUUCAUGGUAUGACUUAGGAGUUUAAUGCCCCUAUAGUUGCUACAACUCUGCACGUCCCCCUUGUUCUUAUAGAUAGGUAUAACCUCACUAAGUCUCCAUUCUUCUGGCAUUUUUGCUCUCGUCCAAAUCUUGUUGAAGAGGCUUGUCAACAAGCUUAUCCCCACGUCCCCCAGGCAUCUCCAUGCCUCAACCGGAAUUUGAUCUGGACCUACUGCUUUGUUUCUCCCCAUCUUCUUUAGGGCGAUCCUUACUUCCUCUUGGCUGAUCCUCGUUGCAUCAUCGUCGUCGUAGCGUGUGUUUGGGUGUGCGGUGAUGACCUCUCCUCCUUCAAUUCUCCCCGACCCUCUCCCAUUAAACAGGUUGGCGAAGUACUCUUACCAUCUUUUCCUAAUAUCUCCCUCCUUCACAAUGCUCCGUCCACUUUCGUCUUUGAUAUAAAUGACAUCCCCUAAAUCCCUACGUCUUCUCUCCCUUGCCUUAGCAAUUCUGAAGAUUUCGUUUUUGCCUUCUUUGGAAUCUAGUUUCUUGUACAGCUCUUCGUACGCUCUUUCUCUUGCUAUAGCAAUAGUCCUCUUUGCUUCUUUCUUGGCUUCGUAGUACCUCUGCCUAGCCAAAGACCAGUCUUCAUUUGUCCCGUUCUGGCGGCUUUUGACAAGAUCCUUAAAACACUCUUUAUGGAAAACAUAUUAUGAACGCAAUAUAUAUUACUACUCGAUAAGGCUAAUUGGUUGUUGAUUUGGAUGGUGAUUGUUUCAACUAUAUUUUUUUCUUGACAAUGCACAUGUCCUGUUGCUCUUGUAAGCCUGUAAUUUUCAAUAAACUUUUUUUUAUAUUUUCGUUUGUCUCUAGAUGCACACUCAUGAUAUGCUAUAAGAUAAUUGUUUGUACUGACCUUCCAUUUAUCAAGGCAUGCAUUUUGUAGGAAUUCUGUUGCGCUCGCUCACUGGUGAGAUUGUUGCCCAAAUAUCGAAUGUUGGGUGUGUACAUAGGAUCUGAAAGUGUAUUAUUGUAUCGUAGUUAGUUCUAGAUACGACACCAUUAAAAACAGGUUGUUUAGUUUUUAAUUUAUGGACCACCUAUUUGAGAAGGACCGUGCUUAUGGUGUAUAGUCUAAUUUCUAUAUGUUGAAUGUUCUAUAUGCAUUCUUUUGGUGUGUUAAGUGCAAUAAAUUUUUAAAGAGGACGAUUCUUACCAUGGGAAAAAGUCUCCCAUUAUAUGUCCAAAUCAGUUAGAAAUAUCAUUUUACAUAUCUGUUUGUUUAUCUUCUUAUUUCUUAAUGUGCCAAUUUUUCUAUACUGCUUGCAUGUUGGACGUUGGCUUUGUUAUAUAUGUUUCUCUAAAUUUUCACAGCAUGAGAUGCUAAAAAAGGUUAUUAGGCUUUUCAAGGGUGAUUGGCGACAAAAAUCGUGACGUUGGUGCUACUUCUUUAAUGAACGUAGCAGUCCACACUGAUGAGCCUGGUAAACAGGUUAGAAGUGCGGCUCACAUGAAAAACCAAAGUAGGUUUCAUGUUGCCUUUAAGGUAUCUCAUAUAUUUUAGCACUAAUAAUAGAAGGAUCAUACUGGCAUUGAUGAAUGUUCUAUUUAAAAUUUCAUGGUGAAAUAACUCCAAUUUGCAAAAGAAAUUGUUUUUGUAUGUUAGUCCCUUCAGCUUCAAGCUACUGCACCAAAGAGAUGCUAUAUAAGACCUCCUGGUGGUAUUCUGGUCCGGUGAAAGCAUUAGUGCUACAGCGAUGUAUUAUGAUCCGUUGGUAUAUAUUUAAUAUUCGUGAUGUAUACCAACAUUUACACAUCUUAGCAGCAUAUGUGUGUUCUAGCUCUAAGCCGGAGAUCAUCAAAGAUUAGCAUAUGAUCGCUAAACCUUUCUUUCAUUGAAUGCAUGUCAAAAAAAUUUAAGUCCAAGAAAUGAAUAAAUGCAGACGGUUGUUUUGAUGCAGUUCAAUGAUGCACAAAAGCUUAGUUUUCAAUAUAUUGAGAAUGUUGAGGCAAUUUCAAGAGAAAUCAAGGCAUGCAUAUGCAUUAUGUAAGGUGAUUGCUGAUGCAAGACAAGACUUCUUAGAUAAAAUGUCAAAUACUCCUUGGAUUGUAAAUAAGCUACAGGUAGUUGGAAUUUUCAUGUAGAAAAGUAAUUUGUCAAGUAUCUAAAAGUGUUACAAAAGGAGAAUACAAGUCUUUAAUUGGCUAGGAUACAAGUUUUUGGGUUGGAGUUAUAAGGGUAAGGUUUGGAGUAGUACCAACUAUGGGGACCUGUUUAAAUUACCUGUGUUUGGAGCAGUACCAACAAGUGUUACAAAAUGAGAACACAAGUUUAAAUUACUGCAGGUAUUCGAGAAUGCUUUCACUUUCUAUUUACAAUUGGAUUUUUUUUA